rnacentral:rRNA from 1 species
UACGUAGGGUGCAAGCGUUGUCCGGAAUUAUUGGGCGUAAAGAGCUCGUAGGCGGUUUGUCGCGUCGGCCGUGAAAACUUGGGGCUUAACCCCGAGCCUGCGGUCGAUACGGGCAGACUUGAGUUCGGCAGGGGAGACUGGAAUUCCUGGUGUAGCGGUGAAAUGCGCAGAUAUCAGGAGGAACACCGGUGGCGAAGGCAAUUCACUGGCGCAUAUCUGACACUGAAACACGAAAGCGUGGGUAGCGAACGGG